CGCGUAGGCGGUCUGUUAAGCGUGAAGUGAAAUCUCCAGGGCUCAACCCGGAAACUGCUUUGCGAACUGGCAGACUAGAGGAAGGUAGAGGUAAGUGGAAUUCCCGGUGUAGCGGUGACAUGCAUUGAUACCGAGAGGAACACCCAUGGCGAAGGCAGCUUACUGGACCUUAUCUGACGCUGAGGCGCGAAAGCGUGGGUAGCAAACA
rnacentral:rRNA from 1 species